AUUGAACGCUGGCGGCAUGCCUUACACAUGCAAGUCGAACGGUAACGGGCCUUCGGGUGCCGACGAGUGGCGAACGGGUGAGUAAUGUAUCGGAACGUACCUUUCAGUGGGGGAUAACGUAGCGAAAGUUACGCUAAUACCGCAUAUUCUGUGAGCAGGAAAGCAGGGGAUCGCAAGACCUUGCGCUGAUUGAGCGGCCGAUAUCAGAUUGGCAAGUUGGUGAGGUAAAGGCUCACCAAGGCGACGAUCUGUAGCGGGUCUGAGAGGAUGAUCCGCCACACUGGAACUGAGACACGGUCCAGACUCCUACGGGAGGCAGCAGUGGGGAAUUUUGGACAAUGGGGGCAACCCUGAUCCAGCCAUGCCGCGUGAGUGAAGAAGGCCUUCGGGUUGUAAAGCUCUUUCGGCCGGGAAGAAAUCGUAUCAGCUAAUACCUGGUGCGGAUGACGGUACCGGCAUAAGAAGCACCGGCUAACUACGUGCCAGCAGCCGCGGUAACAC
rnacentral:rRNA from 1 species